rnacentral:SRP_RNA from 1 species
GCCAGGCAUGGUGGCGCAUGCCUGUAGUCCCAGCUACUUGGGAGGCUGAGGCAGGAGAAUUGCUUGAACCCGGGAGGCCGAGGGUGCAGUGAGCCGAGAUCGCGCCACUGCACUCCAGCCUGGGUGACAGAGCAAGACUCCAUCUAAA